UACGUAGGGGGCAAGCGUUGUCCGGAAUUAUUGGGCGUAAAGCGCACGCAGGCGGUCUGCCAAGUUUGGAGUGGCAGUUGGUGGCUCAACCACCGAAGUGCUUCGAAAACUGACAGACUUGAGGGCUUCAGAGGGACACGGAAUUCCGGGUGGAGUGGUGAAAUGCGUAGAGAUCCGGAGGAACACCGAAGGCGAAGGCAGUGUCCUGGGGAGUACCUGACGCUCGGGUGCGAAAGCCAGGGGAGCGAACGGG
rnacentral:rRNA from 1 species